AAGUCGUAACAAGGUUUCCGUAGGUGAACCUGCGGAAGGAUCAUUAACACGUAUCCAACGUUAAACCCCCCGUGAACUUUUAUCGCGAACCUCGCCUUUGUUUAAAAGUAGCAAUCCGUGGUAAAUCAUCGCCGAACAGUUCUGAUUCAGGGAUCUCUGCGAAGAGAGCGGUUAGGUAAGUAGCAUGGCUAGUGUCUGACAGUGUCACUAGCUCUGUACGAAUGGCGCAGUCACGAUCGCUAGAGGCCGACACGGCCGGCGACCGGGUCACCGGGCAUAGACCCCCCUAUCACCUUUGCAUGAAAACGGGCCUGCGCUUAAUUGUGCGGCCACCAAACUCGAACAACUGUUAACAAUGGAUAUCUUGGUUCUC
rnacentral:misc_RNA from 1 species